AGUAGAGUAGGUAUUGUGCGUUAAGUGUCAUGGGAUGGGAAGUUGUCCAUGGACGAAGGUAAUCAAAGACGAUCCACGAUGCAAUAUUGCGUCCGCUACU
rfam:Firmicutes bacterium CAG:424 genomic scaffold, scf97